rnacentral:lncRNA from 1 species
GAACCCGGCAGGUUUGAACUACUAGGACCUUGGCGCGCCUGGCGGAGCCACGCCUCCCGAUGGCCCCGCCCCAACUAGGCCUCGUCCCCACCAGGGCCCGCCCCCAGAUCAGCCCGGAUGGGCGGAGCCUCUGGUUCUAGUUCGCCGACCAAGCAGUACCCGCAGCUGUAGGGGUCCAGCCAAUCAGAGAAGAGGGGCUCCCGCCCGCCGGGCCAAUCACGGGAGGGCAGGAGGUGGACUGGGUCGGCGCUGGCUCCUGGGAUAUGGAGUCGCCGGCGCGGCGUGUCAGGAGGUGGUGGAGCCGGUAAGCCGAGGUGCUGGCGGGGUCAGGGGUUACGACGUUCCGCUGUGCGCGGGCGUACGAGGGGGCUCGGCCCGCGGCCUGCGCGGCGGGCGCAGCGGCGAACCCCGGGGAGGGAGCUCCAUAUCCCGAGGAGACCGGGAGGGCUCCGGGCUCAGCAUUGGCGCCGACCGUCACGGGCCUCGGUCCUUCGCGACCCCGGACACCCGCUGACCGGCCCGGGGGCGCGACCGCAGUCCCCUUCCCGAGCCCCGGGCCUGCCCCUGCCGGGGCUUCCCGUAGCGCAGCUCCCUGUCAGUCUAGCGGCCGC